UACGUAGGGUCCAAGCGUUAAUCGGAAUUACUGGGCGUAAAGCGUGCGCAGGCGGUUGUGUAAGUCAGAUGUGAAAUCCCCGGGCUCAACCUGGGAAUGGCGAUGGAUACUGGCGAGCUAGAGUGUGUCAGAGGAUGGUGGAAUUCCCGGUGUAGCGGUGAAAUGCGUAGAGAUCGGGAGGAACAUCAGUGGUGAAGGCGGCCAUCUGGGACAACACUGACGCUGAAGCACGAAAGCGUGGGGAGCAAACAGG
rnacentral:rRNA from 1 species